UACGUAGGGUGCAAGCGUUGUCCGGAAUUAUUGGGCGUAAAGAGCUCGUAGGCGGUUUGUCGCGUCUGCUGUGAAAUCCCGAGGCUCAACCUCGGGCCUGCAGUGGGUACGGGCAGACUAGAGUGCGGUAGGGGAGAUUGGAAUUCCUGGUGUAGCGGUGGAAUGCGCAGAUAUCAGGAGGAACACCGAUGGCGAAGGCAGAUCUCUGGGCCGUAACUGGACGCUGAGGAGCGAAAGCGUGGGGAGCGAACAGG
rnacentral:rRNA from 1 species